rnacentral:lncRNA from 1 species
GCAGGGCCAAGCAUUGUACUUCCGUAAAAAAUCCCUGCCAUAUUAUUUACAAGUUAUUAGAUAUUACGCAAUAUGGGACUCAGUGUUGGAAUUUAGGAAAUCUUAAUCACCGCUGUAGAUCGGCUGCAUUUUGUGACUGACCUAAAGCUGUUCCGAGCGUGUAUAACGGAGCUCCACCUGCACCCAUGAUGAGUUGCGCUACUAGAAACACGUACUUGAACUUUUGCAACGCCCAUCCACCCGUUAGACCUGCUGUUAAUUGAUCUGAUGUCGAGCAACUGGCGUUCAUCGACGGAACGGAUAGUGAGCAGGUAUUGAUGACUUGUUCCUUCACGGAAGCCUGCGUAUGCAACAAGUGGUAAGUCCAAAUUCGUAUCUUUUGGCAAUUUUUUUGCGGGAAAAACCUGGUAGAGCCCAGAUGUUAAGUGGGGUGUAGCAAAGACGAACGACCCUAUUCCUAAUAGUAACACACCAUAGCCGACCCAAUGAGGCUUGCACGCUCCUUUGCGACCUCCUAGAUAGGACACUGGUAGAACCUAAAGGUGAUUUUAUAACUAAGCGUUUAAAACAACAGCAACUUGUCUUGUGUUUGAACUUGCUGUUAAAAAUGACGCGAUGUCGUAGCAUCCUAUAAUCAUCCCACUGUCCGUUGAAGUGAGGUCGUACCGCCGCUAAACAUAAAAGGAAACUGUCUUUGAACUUGUGAUACAGCGAGAUUGAACUCAUUACAACCAUUUACCUCUAUCGUGCUGACGCAAACGUUGAGAAGACCAUUGAUCAAAAAACCUGUUUGAAAAGUAAUCCGUACACUUAGAGUAAAUGUGUCACACAGCAGUAGAAGGUUAUUUUAUAAUUGCGGUUCAACGGUCCAAAUAUUUCAAGGACUUUAAAUAUUUAUACUGCGUCGACCGAGGAUUCCUCUAAAAUUAGAAAUUUGGAAGCUGUUUGUUUUUGCUUGACUACCGAAGCACAUCCAUCUUUGAAGUCGUUGUUUAUUUUGGAAAAGAACAGACGAAUAGGCAAUUCAUCACUACUUUCCCAAAAGAUAACAUUUCACCUCGUUCCUUUUCAACUUUUAACGGCAAGGGUGGAAAACUAGGAAAGGCUACACUACGGUACACGAAGUUGUUAUUUGAUUUAGCGGACUUACUUUGAAAUCCUCCGGCCCAGCAGAUCCAGAAUAAAAACGACUUGGAUGUAGAUAGCCGCUGUAAGAAUUUGGGUUUCCAGCAAUACCAUCCACAUUGUCCUCCGCCGUCGUCGAAAUCCGCAGUCGACGCUGGAUCCGAGGAUUUGGCAUUGGUGACGGUAUUUGCCAUUUCCAUGGUUCCUGCCAACUCCUCGUUCACUGCAGAAUCGUGAGCCACCGUUUUGUCCAAGGUGCGAAAGAGAGAUGACUAGUGUGCAGAGGGAAAGUGGCCACGUACUAAGCCUCACGCAAAUUCGUCACGAAAUGAGCAGACGAGUUUGAUUCGGCAGUGUGGGUCUCCCCAAAAGUGAGAGUAUAACUUGCGACUUGCUCAGCAACUACCACCAGCAGUACUGCCGACCUACUUGCUACUUUCUCCUUCCAUUUUACGUUCGCACAGUUUUCACUCACGAACACAAUCAGGGCGAGACAGCAGAGGGCAAUUGUCGUUGGCGGAAUGAGAAGAUUUCUUUUUCAAGUCUGCAACCUCCUUGCUUAUUCCGACAACAACAACAUGGGACUUGGUGGGGAAGCACGAUCGGCUGUGCCACACAAAAGGAAUCGUCAAAGCUCAAGAACAGAUGGACAAAGUCUACACUAUACAGUCUAAUAAUGAUCUAUGCUAGAGUAAAAAACUGGUUGUGGUUGUCCUGCCAUGCAACAGGUAGUGAAGUUAAAAAAAAAAAAAGUGAGGCUUUUCCAUUUCACAAUCGCUACACGACAUACCCACGUCGUCGCCCAGGAGGGGCGGGCCUAAAAAAAGAAUCUCCCUCCCAAAAGAGAAGGGCCCGUGACGUCGUGGUGCAAUUCCCUUAUUCACGUUGCGUGAUUGAUUUUAAGGUAGUCUGCGAAACACGCAGGCGCACUACGCACACACAUUCACUCAGCCCUAACUCAUUUUUUGCAACUCAACCACAUCAUCACAGCCAUCAUUAAAGGCGUCGUCGCGUUGACCAACUUAGAGGGGGGAAACAAGGAAUUAAUAAGGCACGUAUCAUUCACGACGAGUAUAGGCCCGAAACCGGAAUUAUCAGAAUACUAUAUAAUCAUAUUGUCGCACACGUAUACGAAAAGGUAGGUCGAUCACGUCAAGGAUUCGAAUUCCACUGUUUAUCCGCCAGAAUGGAAGUUAUCCAUUAUACCUGCGACUGGAACAUCUUUCCGUCAGUUCGAGGAAGAGUGGGGGGAAAGGUUCGUGAAGGCCACGUUUGCUGUUUAAAGUGUUGUCGACUGUUAUUGUCCUCGUUAGCUAUAAAGUAUGCGUAGGUUGUUCAAAUUUCCUAGACAGGUAGCCCAGUUAGAAAGUACUCAAUUUUGCAAUAGAUUAAUCAGCUGAUAAUUUCAAUGUAUUCUUCAUUAAAAAUUGUUGACAGCAGUUUCUUCCUAAUCCCAGAAAAAAAUAACAGUAACUUUUGCUUUGCAACGGACGUAAAGUGAUUUUCUGUAUAGAUCUAGAGUCCUAAAACCAAAUUAAUGCUUCCCUUACACAUAAACAAACAAAAACAAUAAAUUCCUUCGCGAUCGGUUUAAAUGGUGCUAGUUUUGAUCCUUCUAAAUAGCACUUAUAAGACUGUAUGGCUGAGUUAGGCAAGAAUCAAGGCUCAAAAUGAAUAGUCUUGAUUUUAACAAGUUGACGGGCAGUUUUCCGCCAUCCUAAUGGUUUCCGGAAUUGAAGAUUGGGUCUUGGUGCGGGGAUGGUCCAACAACGACGGACACUCGAUAGUCCCAUUUUGAAUACUAUCCAUUUUAGUCAGCAAAUCAUAGUUGAUCCUUUCACUUACUACGGAGUCGCCCCUGUUUUGUUUUUUAAAUUGCGAAUAAUUAAACAUACAAAAAAAAAAGGGAAAUAUUUCAACAUACUUGUAGUCUGGGUGCUUGGUGACGAAUUCACGAAUCCAAUGAGCUGUCGUCAUCAAAUCACCACUUGCUCGUUUUUGGAUAAGCCGCAAGUAUUGAUGUAUUGUGCAAUGGGUAUCGGCAUCUACUUCAACAGUCGAGAGGUAGCUGCUAAUGAGGGGUAAUAGGCCUUGGAACUCUUCGCCCUAAGAAAAAUAGAUAGAUGAUUAAGCAAAAAUUGUAAUGAAAAGAAGAUGAGGUAGAGCCACUCGAGCUGAAAUUAAAGAAACCUACCUUUCCAUUGAUUAUUUCGCCAAUUGUCAUCUCUACGCAAAUUUGUUCUUGGUCGGCUGUUGAUUCAGCAUCGGUAGGCGAGCUCUGCGACACUAGAUCCUUGCGGAACCAGAAUUUUUGAUUGAGAAUGGCAUCGCGCUUCUGGGCUCUUUUCAUGUUUUCGUCAACUUUACUAAUUGGAAUGAGGAAGUUUAGCCCGUAGGUUACAAUGACGCGAGUUAACAGGACAAUGAAGCAAACAUAUGCAGCAUUCUCGAAGUCGGUUAUUUGUGCUUCACAGGGUCGGAAUUCAACGCGCCAACCAAUGGUGCUCUUUGGCGGCGGGGGCUUGAACCGCAUGGUUUGCCAAUUGGUUGAUUGAAGAUUCUGAAAAUGUUCCCAGAAAAUCAUUAGUAAAUAAUCGAACGACCAAGCUCUUUUAUAGCAUGUACCUCAAAGUGAUCCGAAUCUUCCUCAUCAUUUUGGUUCACUUUUUCACUGAAGAGGGAAACGGGAUCACGAAUGAAGAGAUGGGCAACGUGUUGAGCAAGUAAAUGAUCGAUUCCAGCGUCACGCAUUCUCUUGUAAGCCUCUUGAUCUAUGACCAGGGGUAUGUCGUUGUAUCUUUAACAGAAAUUUGAUUAUCACAAUUUGAAAUAAUAUGAAUGCGUCUAUGAUAAAUAUACCUUUCUCCUUCAGGAGACAAAUACGAAUCGAUUGAAUCAUAUCGUGAUUUGUAGAUACGGUAUCUGUCUGUCUUUAGCGGCUCUAGACCCCUUUCCUCUCUCGUGCGGCAGUCCACCGAACUGGAAAUAAUAUUCCAGCGACAAUCUGUGUCGGCGAUAUAGCCACGCUGAAGUGGCGAAGCGGCAGUAAGAGCCAACAUAAUUGGACACAUUGGUGUCAGUUGAUCGUAAAGUGUACGAGCUUCUUUGAUAUUGCAGGCUUGAAAAGUCAACUGCAGACAACACUGGCCCAUUCCAAAACCCAUUGCAUCCAUGUAUAUAUGGUCUGG